GAUGAACGCUGGCGGCGUGCCUAAUACAUGCAAGUCGAGCGAACAGACGAGUAGCUUGCUCCUCUGACGUUAGCGGCGGACGGGUGAGUAACACGUGGAUAACCUACCUAUCAGCCUGGGAUAACUUCGGGAAACCGGCGCUAAUCCCGGAUAAUAUAUUGAACCGCAUGGUUCAAUAGUGAAAGACGGUUUUGCUGUCACUUAUAGAUGGAUCCGCGCGGCAUUAGCUAAAUGGUAAGGUAACGGCUUACCAAGGCAACGAUGCGUAGCCGACCUGGGAGGGGGGUCGCCCACACGAGAGCGGAGACAGGGACAAGACGACUGAGGGAGGGAGCAGUAGGGAAUCUGAGGCAAUGGGCGAAAGCCUGACGGAACAACGGCGCGUGAGUGAUGAAGGUGUUGGGAUCGGAAAGCUCUGUUAUUAGGGAAGAACAAAUGUGUAAGUAACUAUGCACGUCUUGACGGUACCUAAUCAGAAAGCCACGGCUAACUACGUG
rnacentral:rRNA from 1 species